UUAAACGUGCUACAACGGUGCAAUAAGAUCCUGUUAAGAUUUUUACAGAAUCGAGCUAUUACCGUUAUCGGAAAACAAUCAUUUUGCUGUAUUCCGCCAAAAUAAAAUGGCUUGUCAAAAAUUAAGACCCUCGCUGAUAAUACUAUUGUUUUCCGCGGUCCUAUGGAAAGGUGAUGCCCACCGAUUUCAUUUUCAGGCCAGAAAAGUCGAAGAUGCCUCGCCCCUGGCUAACGUAUCCCUAACCGCUACUUUACGGAGCAAUAACGGUGUUAUUUUCCGGAAGCUUACAAAGUCCACCAAUAUGUUCGGAGAGUUCACCCUGAUACUACCAGAAAGUUGCCAGACAUUGCGAGAUAACAGCAAUUAUACUAUCGUUUUCCAGUUGCCGGACUAUCGUGCUAUUACGUUGCCCGUGUUCGAUUCUGACAUAAAACAAAAUCGUGAUACGUUUCUGGAGCCCUUAAUCUUCAUUCACAACCGAUUCCGUGGUGCUUAUUUGGCUGCAGGACAGGUGCUUUUGGAGAAAUCAGUGUAUGGUAGCAAUUUGACUGGAACAACGAUAACAUUGCGGUCUGGUCUACGAAAUUAUGAUGGCAAGGUCGUGGGUAGGCAGGAAACACGCAAUGAGGGAGACUGGGUUAUGAUCAACCCGACAGGUUACUACACUGCUACUGUGCAGCGGAGAAACUACCGGACAGAAUCGUUUACUGUGAUCUCAGUUGGCGGGAAUUUCGGCGGUCCGUAUACAGCUGAUGAUUUCCAAAUGCUGCCUCAAGGUCAAACGAGAAAUGACGAAAUUCGUAUAGUACUAAGAGGAGGACGUUACGAUACACAGAUGCAGUGUUCUCCGUGUCUGCAGUUAGUGGUGAAAGGGCCCGUUGAAGGUAUUCAGGAGCGAAGGCGGGUUGAGCCUGCGCUGUCCAAGAUAAGGAACGAGAACCACAUGCGAAAUGAUUUCAAUGGCUUGAUUGCUCAGAGCAUAUUGAUUGCGAAACAGCUGAGCGGUACAUACGAAAUCAUUGUCUACGACUGAGAGACUCGCGAGAACCUUAACAGUUCGGCAAUGAAAGAUUCUAGAGCCGUGUUGCAGAUUUACCGCGGUAAUGAAUUAUGGGACCGUUUCUAUGUACCAAAUCGAGAUGGCAAUACAUGGAUCGUGGCCAACAUCACUGGAACGAAUCUGACGGUCAUCAACGAGGUGGUAUCGGUCAUACAGCCGACAGACUGGAAGCCGAAACACAGCGCGCUGGCUGAAUGUGCGCUCCUCGGCAGCGAAUGUGAGAACACGCUGGGAUGCUGCGGCUACUUGACGUGUACCAACGGAAUCUGUACUGGCCGACCCUGGCAAGCUUUUAUGGAAGAGGCGCCAAACGCUUUAGACAUGAGGACGCGAAUUUUAGCCACCUGUUCCGAUACAUUAUGACGCCGAUCACUCUUCUUGCUGCAGCCAGAAUGUCUGCAUUUCUCCACGACCUUUUACAAACACCAUGCCACGUGAUUGAAAACCCACAUCAGGAAAAUUCUCCGUCAAAAUUUGCGAUGUCACUAAACUUAAUUGCACUUUAUCGCUUUCACUGCUAGAACACAUCCGUGCUGCAACAUUAACCGUGUCGCCAAACCUGAAAGAUCGGCGGUGAAUAAAAAUAGCAGUUAUGGAGGCCGGUCGGGACAUUUUAAAAAUAUAUCAUGGAAGUCCAUCGUACUUACAAACAAUACCGAGGCCUGUUGAGACCAACCACUCCAGCUGCACACGUUCCUUUUGGAGUGCAUCAAAAUCCGGUUAGGUAUAUUAAAUUAUUUCGUGUAAAGAACGUUUAGAUUGGUAAUACCGGAAUGCAAACCGCCGCGCAGCCAUAGCGACAGAGUGCGUAGCGUUGUUGAUCGUCUAAACAAUUCCAGCAUCUUCGACGCCAUGAGGCAAAUCUCGCGGGCAUGUUGCUGACCAUUUCGAACAGUGAUCGCCUAUCGUCUCCACUUUAUAUACAUCGAAGCCGGCAAUCGCGGUAUCCAGUGUUUUAAAGAUAUGCGUCAAGAUCUCCAGCGAAGCAAUCGGCAUACAUUUGACAACAAUCUCGUCGAAUCCCAUUACAUCGCUGAAAAACACGGUCGUGCUCUCGUAUUCCUCGGCCAUCACAUGUUCGCCUUUUCGCAGGUUCUCCACAAGAUCCCUAAUCACAACCAAAGAUAUACGUCCCAUGCGAUCGCCACUCAUCCAGUAGAACCAACCGUGGCAGAAGCUGCACUAAUAAGCGUUCACUCUUCUCGCGCUCAUGGAUAAGCUGCGCCGUCUUUGCGGACACCUCCGCCUCCAAUUUUUCUGAAUACGUUCCCAAGCGCCGCAAAAUCUUAUCCACAACGUUACCGGAAAAGUCUUUCAUUUCACCGAGAAUUUCUUCGACUUCCAUGCAUGCCGACAAAGCCGAUGGACGCAGCGUGAAAUCAAUGUUGAGGCAUGAAUUCGCCAAGUCUUCAAUGGAUACGGUAGCAGGAAGUGUUUCCAAGGCAGUGUUACGCCUGAUAUGUGUGUCAGUCUCCUUAGAUAAGACGCCCUUUGGGUGCAUAUCAUACGCUACAAAUAGAAGCCGUUUUAAUUUAAACGAUGUAACGUACUGCUUUUCACACAGCUAAUCAUUUGGGUUUUGGUGAAAUC